CUUUGCACCCUAAAGAGACAGCAGAUGGAAGCUCAUUAUGGCUGAGGAGAGGAGCAAGUCGCUGAGUCCCACUCUGGCCUGUGCAAAUUCAGGGGCUCAGCAGGAGUAUGAUGGAGUCAUGUGAGGAGGAGAAGGUGGUCUGACACAAGGGGAUUUACGAGUCAAGAUCCAGAGCAAAAAUAACAAACGGUUCUCCUGCUGGAUCCCGGUGGGGCAGAGCAUGCUGAAACACAUCAAGAACCGUUUCAAGAAAGAACACGUGAAAGACUUUCCUGUACAAGAAAGAUGCAUAGAACUAUGUGAAUGGGUAUUACAGAUAUAGUACCCGUUAUCCGGAAACCCGUUAUUCAGAUAGCUCCAAAUUACAGAAUAAACCAUAAAUUCUA